rnacentral:lncRNA from 1 species
UUCUAGGCAGGCCUGGGCUGGCUAAAUCGUCUGUCUUAGAAACCAACUGUGGUGGUUUGAAUAGAAACUGGGAGUGCCGCUAUUGGAAGUGUGGCCUUGUUGGAGGAAGUACGUCACAGACUUUGGACUUUGAGGUUUCAGAAGCUCAAGCCAGGCCCCGUGACUCUCUCUUCCUGCUGCCUGCUGUUCAGGAUGUCGAACCCUUGGCUCCUUCUCUGGCACCACGUCUGCCUGUGCAUCGCUAUGUUUCCCGAGAUAGUCAACUAAACCUUUGAACUGUAAGCCAACUUAGUGGUUUCCUUUACAAGAGUUGCAUUGCUCAUGGUGUCUCUUUACGGCCAUAAGACCCUAACAAAGACACCAGCCAACAAACAAAACUAAAGUGGCUGAAGACCCUGGAGGCUGCUCUUUGUCUGUGAGCUUGUUCAGUGAGUGCCAUCUCUAUUUUCCUUUUGCUUCCGUGUCCGUAUUUGGUGGGGAUGAAACCUUUCAGAAUUGUA